UCAGGAGUUCCCCCAGGAGGACAGAAACACUCCUCUCCCCUGGGACUGACCACACUGAGGGGGCGUCUACACAAUCCUUCACCGCGUACAACACCUGGAACCCAACACACAGGUUGAGUCAAACAUACAACACCUGGGACCAACACACAGGUAGAGACAAACAUACAACACCUGGGACCAACACACAGGUUGAGACAAACAUACAACACCUGGGACCAACACACAGGUUGAGACAAACAUACAACACCUGGAACCAACACACAGGUAGAGACAAACAUACAACACCUGGGACCAACACACAGGUUGAGACAAACAUACAACACCUGGGACCAACACACAGGUUGAGACAAACAUACAACACCUGGGACCAACACACAGGUUGAGACAAACAUACAACACCUGGGACCAACACACAGGUUGAGACAAACAUACAACACCUGGGACCAACACACAGGUAGAGACAAACAUACAACACCUGGGACCCAGGUAGAGACAAACAUACAACACCUGGAACCAACACACAGGUAGAGACAAACAUACAACACCUGGAACCAACACACAGGUAGAGACAAACAUACAACACCUGGGACCAACACACAGGUUGAGACAAACAUACAACACCUGGGACCAACACACAGGUUGAGACAAACAUACAACACCUGGGACCAACACACAGGUUGAGACAAACAUACAACACCUGGGACCAACACACAGGUAGAGACAAACAUACAACACCUGGGACCCAGGUAGAGACAAACAUACAACACCUGGAACCAACACACAGGUAGAGACAAACAUACAACACC